GGGGAGGUCGCAUAGUUGGCCUAGUGCGGCGGUUUGCUAAACCGCUAUAGGAGCAAUCCUAUCGAGGGUUCGAAUCCCUCCCUCCCCGCCA
rnacentral:tRNA from 1 species